GCUUGUCUGUUUAUCGUCGCUGUCGUUGUUGUUUUUGUUGAUUUUUCUUCUUCGGGCUUCCAGGCUCUGUAACGCAUGUUUUGCCAAUGAAAUGAAAAGGUCUUUGCUAUCUUACCCGUAUGUCGCGUUGAACUGUCAUGUGCCGGACUUCUUUCAUUUUUGUUCCGCGUGAUGUCGAUGUUGUUCGAAGAUUUCUCGUUCGUCUAUGCAUUAGGUUGUCAUUGUCGAGUUUCUGGUUCGGUGUCGACGCCGCUUGGAGGUUCCUGGUUAUCGCCGUGUCGGUUUGCCUUUCGUUUGCGACCGUAGAUCUUACUUUCUCUUCCUCCCUCUUCAUAGAGAUGAGGUCCUUUGUUCUUUUAGUAUAGUUUGACCUCCAUUUUUCGUUGGGGUAGGGGGUCACGGUGGCGUAGAAGGGUCGUCGCGAAAGUUUUCUUUUUCUUGCCGGGUCUCGAACAGUCAGACCUCAGUCGACGUCGCGAUGAGGUUCUUCCCCUAUUUCUGAUAUGGUUGGUUUCAGCUCAGGUUAGGAUGAGGUUCUCCUUCUGUUCCUAACGGGGCUGUGGGGGCACAUGUGGGCGC
rnacentral:lncRNA from 1 species